UGCACAGAGUCUUUUACCCAAGGUAGGGGAAUCGAAAACAAGAGGAUAUAUGUUUAAGGUGAGGGGGAAAGAU